rnacentral:lncRNA from 1 species
CUGAGUCCGUCAUUCUUGAGAAGCAAAUUAAACAAGAACAAGAGAGAUGGCAACAGUGAAAAGGAUCAAGCUGGGGUCACAGGGUCUUGAAGUAUCAGCACAGGGACUUGGAUGCAUGGGCAUGUCUGCCGCCUACGGCCCUCCAAAGCCUGAAUCGGACAUGAUCGCACUCAUCCACCAUGCCGUCAACACUGGGGUCACUUUACUCGACACCUCCGAUGUCUAUGGACCCCACACCAACGAAAUCCUUCUGGGCAAGGCCUUGAAGGCGGGAGGAUUACGACAGAGAGUUGAAUUGGCCACCAAAUUUGGCGCCAGCUUUAAGGAUGGCACUUUUGAGUUUCGAGGGGAUCCUGCUUAUGUGAGAGCUGCUUGCGAGGCCAGCUUGAAACGCCUUCAACUUGAAUCCAUUGAUCUUUAUUACCAACAUCGCAUUGAUACCAGCGUUCCUAUUGAAGCUACGGUAUUUCUCUUUAAUUGUUUUUAUUUCUGAAUAUUGUUCUGAUUAAUCUUGAUCGUUCGAUGGCCAUGAUGAUAGUUAGAGAAUUUUUCUUUUACUUGAUGAUAUAUUUUCCAGAAUCUGUGACAGGCAUAUCCAAAAAUCCCUAAAACUUCAUCAUAAACCCACUAAAAUUAUAGAUUAGACAUGGUACUGAUGAUACCGUCAUGCUCAUUAUAUGCAUUGACAUCUUGCAAUGGCCUCUUUCGUAGUUGGAUGCCGACAAUGCUAAUAUUGGGUUCUGUCCCUGCAUUCUAGCUGAAAAAUUUAUUGCAGUCGUGCACUCAUAAUUCUUUUCUUUGCUAGAUGGGGGAACUCAAGAAACUAGUUGAAGAAGGUAAAAUAAAGUAUAUAGGUCUGUCUGAGGCCUCUGCUUCAACAAUCAGACGAGCUCACGCUGUUCAUCCGAUCACAGCCGUGCAGUUGGAGUGGUCACUGUGGUCAAGAGAUGUGGAGGAAGAGAUUGUUCCUACCUGCAGGUGAGGCAUUGAUGAGAAAAACUAAUUUCCUUUGGAGAUCAAAAUAACCCAAACCUUAGGCUGUUUAUGGGAUGCCUUAGAUAUCCAGAUUCUGAUCUUAUCAUUCUAAUGGUUCAGAGAACUUGGCAUUGGGAUUGUUGCUUACAGUCCUCUAGGACAGGGAUUCUUUUCCUCUGGGCCUAAGUUGGUUGAGAGCCUUACAGAUGGUGACUUCAGAAAGGUAGGUUCUUUUCUUUUUUAACAUAGAGUUUGUGAUCUGUGGAAUACAUGUCCAGUAAUUAAAUAACCAAUUGGUUAGCUUAGAUGCCUCAAAACACUAGUCUCUUCCAUCUUAUGGAUUGGUUUGGUGGUCUAAACUCCAUUGAAGAAACUUGCACAAAGUAAAAGUUUAGCUUUGAGAUCAUUAUAUUUUUACCUAGCAGUUCCUUCACAUUUGCAUUAUUCCUACAAAUAUGCUAUACACUUGGAUUGCUUAAAGAUUCAAUCAAAUAAAACACAGAUUUACAGGAUCUCCUUGUAUUAGACAGGUGCCUUUAGUUUGUCCCAUGCAUGUCCAAACAAAAAGUUCUGCAUACUUAAUGUUUUGCUUAAAUCGUUCUCUCUGAUAUUCAAUCUUCAGUACUUUUGAAUUCCUAAAAUCUGCUCACUCGCCUUGUACAUGGGAAUUUGGCGUGCUUGCACCCAUAAAAAACUGCGUGGUAUACAAUAUCAUGAUGGUUUGCGUUUAGUACUAGGAUUAAUGUUUUGUUGUGGCAAAAAGGACAUGUUACAUGUACAUGUGGAAUGUUGCAUAAACUGUAAUCUAUGAUGCUUUCUUCUUGAUGAGUUGUUUCAGCUUAGCUGCUGAAAUUAACUAGUGUUUCAAUUGUCUCAGGGUUUGCCUAGGUUCCGACCUGAAAAUCUUGAACAUAAUUCACAACUAUUUGAGCGGGUUAAGGAAAUGGCAGCAAGGAAACAGUGCACUUCAUCGCAGCUGGCGUUGGCCUGGGUACACCACCAGGGUGAUGAUGUAUGUCCUAUUCCUGGAACCACCAAGAUCGAAAACUUCAACCAGAAUGUUGGAGCUCUGUCUGUCAAACUAACGCCAGAAGAAAUGGCUGAACUCGAAUCAAUAGCUUCUUCGGAUGCUGUAAGAGGAGAUAGGUAUGGCGUUGGCAUGCUUACAUUCAAGGAUUCAGAUACUCCACCUCUUACAUCAUGGAAAGCUGUAUAGAAGGCAUGCUGCCAUACCAUCCUGUCUUGCUUCUACUCGUGGAUUUCAGCUCCCUUUGAAGUUUUCUAAAACUGUGAGAGUUUGUAAACCAUCUGAACUUCUGAAGAGAAUAAGAGUUUGUACACCAUCUGAACUUCUGAAGAUAAUAAAUGUUUUCGUAAUCUAAAAGUAUUGCAACUUUCUUUUAGCUUUGCUAUAAAAAGAUGGUGUUCCUUAGUUUGUCCUCGUAGAAAUUUCUAAUUGUUGAUAGUGAUCAGAACCUCUGUGUUAUACCUGUCAUUCUCGAUUUAAAGACUUACCUAGAAAAUAGUUGUCCUCAUUUAUUUAUUUUUUUAUUGAAUCAGAAAGCUAGGUUUGAAUUAGAUUUAGCGAGAUUAAAUGGAUCAUUAAAAAUCUAGUCGGAUUUAACAACUAUAUUUUAUGCUAAAAACUUGGCUCUGGUUUGUGAUCAUGCACUCAUUGAAGGUUCUAUAUAGUCUAGCAUUUGCAUGUCAAUGGCUGUUUGCGUUGGGAUUUCAAUGUGUGUCCAAAAGAGAGUCAUGUCAUUGCCUUGACUUGUUAGUUUAAUAUAUUAUGUACUUAUAUAAUAAUAUUAUUAUAUUUAUGUAAAUAUAUAUUUGUUAUUAAUAAAAAGUUAAUUUAUCACUAAUAUUUAUAUAAUAUUAUAUUAAUAAAUUUAAUAUUUGAUUUAUGAAUCUAGAGUAAAGAUAAUGUUUAUGCUAAAAAAAUGUUUUGCAAAUGAAAUUAUAAAGUUGUUAUAAUUAUGAGAUUACUAUGACAUGAAAGCAUUGAUCUUAAAAUGUUUAUGGUCGAGAUGCUCUCUUACCUAUUAUAUAUAUAUAUAUAUAUUUUUUUGUGAAAGGAAGUGGUUGUUCUCAUAAGCUGAGUUAUAAAGAAUACCUAAAACUAAUAUGUAGAUAGUUAUCAUAGGAUAUAUAUACUAACUUGACCCGCAUGAGGAUUCUAUAUGAAGAGAUUAUAUAUGUCUAUGGAAAGGCUCAUGAUUAGUACUUAAAAUUGUAUUUUUAUCAAGGUUUUAUAUCAUUAUUUUGCACUUGAAAUAUCAAUAACUUCUUAACUAAAGCAUGUUUUAUAAUAAUAUAACUAAUAAUAUAAGAUACUUUUAAUUUAUAGUAAAUAUUCAUCUUAAAUGCAGGUCUAUCACAUAGAUAAAAGGAUUGAUUAAGGAGUUUAAGUAUUAAAAUUGAAAAGACAAAGAAAGGGCCAAACUUAGAAAAAAGAUGUUAGUGCAGUCCAAACUGGAAUACUGUUCGGUAAUUGGGUCAUAUCUUGAGUUUUAGAUGUCCAAAUGACUUUAAAUGUUUAGACAAAUUCGGUAAGACAUAGACCUACAACUUUCAUGUGGAGUCCAAGAUUUAAAAAGACCGUUUUCAAGUCCAAGUUAUAGCAACAACAGAGAAGUUCAGAUUUGUCAUGCAUCCUAGACACUGUUCAGUGUUCAUCCCAUAUCUCGAGCUAAAAUUCCAAAUGACCUCAAUUUUUUUUCCUGAAGGAUAAGACAAUUUUCUAUAACUUUCAUGAGUAUAGGUGAUUCCAAUUUUGAUGCUAACAAUGACAUUUUAUUCAGACAAGAAGAUAAGGAUUUUCACCAAGUCAAGAGUUGGCCACCCACUCAACAAUUAGUCAUCAAAUCAAUAGUUUCAAAUUUUAGCCUAUAAAAGGAGGCAUUUGCCAUGUAUUUAGGGGCUUGGUUGUUUAGAUCAAGAACUUGUUAUUGCUCUCUCUCUUUAUAUAUAUAUAAGUUUUGCUUUCAUUAAUAUCUUGUUUAUACUUUUCAUUUCCUUUCCUUUAUUUAGUUAACUUGUAUCUUAUAUAUAUUUUUCAAUUUAUUCUAUUAUACAAUAUCUUUUUAUUUUUCAAUUAAGAAAAAUCAUGAUAUAAUGCAAACACUUCCUUCUCUUACAUUAUAAAUUGAAUUGAAAUUCUACAUAAAAUAACAAGGAAAUGAAUACAACACCUAUUGCACUUAAAAGUGAAUUAUAAAAUAAAAUUAAAUAAGAGAGAUCAAACAUUUAUUUAUUAUAGUUGUGACACAAUUCAUCAAGGAUUAACAUAUAAAUUGUUUUUUUCCCUUCUCCACACAAACCAAAAGAAUGGCUAGUAGGUGUAGAAUUAUCUUUUCCAAUAGAUCUAUUGUGCAUUGCAAAAUUAGUUGGGGAUAAAUUGGUUAGUAUAUUUUUGUUUUCACUAUCAUAUUACUUUGUCUUUUUAUUAUUAUUUGCACAAUAAAACUACACUUAUAUCUUUUAGAGAAAAUAACCAUUAAAAUAGGGUUUUUUUUUUGUAUUUUUAGUUUUUUGAACAAUGAAGUUACAGUAUUACCUUAAAAUCAAAAAAAUAUACAUCUAUUUUAAAGGGUAAUUUUGGUUUUUACUUAUGGGUUUUUUUGUUAUUUUUAGGUUGGUCUAAGGGUUUUUUGUCAUUUUAAAAGACUAAAUAUUAUUACAAAAAACAAAUUGUUGAUGCAUUAGUGCAUGAUGAUUCCCGCGAGAGGCGCAUGUAGGGCCUUCCAAUUAUCAAAUCCCACCAUAUAAGGCAGUGUUAAGAGAGGCUCAUCAUGCUUUUUUUAGUAGUGUGGUGCAUGCUUUUGGAGGAGGCAUAGUUAACAAGCCUUUUUUUUCUCCUUUCUUUUCUUUUUCCUAACCUAAAACUUUAUGCCAGCCCAUCCAAAAAAUAAUUUUGUCCUUCAUUUUGUAUUUCUAUUAAUCUUGGCUCUCAUUCUUUGAAUUACUAUUUGUUUUGUUUUAAUAUUUUUUUUGGAUUUUAGUUUUUUAUUUAUUUCAUCCCUGAGAAUUUUAUUUCAUUUAAUUUUUGUAUCUAAUUUGAUCCUCAUUAAUUUUAUUACUCUUUAUUAGUGUUUUAUCCUUUUCUUGAUUUUUUUUAGUUUUUUCAAUUUCAUCCUUAAUUAUCUCAGGAUUUGCCUAGGUUCCGACCAGAAAAUCUUGAACAUAAUACACAACUAUUUGAGUGAGUUAAGGAAAAAUUUAUUGUAAUUAUAACUCUCAACCAACUCAAUAUUAAAAAAAUAAAAUAAAAAAAUCAUAAAAAAAACAUGUGGGAAAACACUGUAGCAAUCCAUAGUGUUUUAAAAAAUAUAUAUGAAGCUAAAUUCUAACCAGCUCAAUAUUAAAAAAAAAUCGACAAAGAUAAUUUUUGAAAAAAAUUAUAUAUAAAAAAAAAAGCACAAGAAAAGAAAAUAAAAAUGUCAUGUGGGGAAACACUGUAGCAAUCCACAAUGUUUUAAAGAAAAAAAAUUACAAAGGUAAAUUCUCAACGAGGUCAAUAUUAAAAAAUUAAUCUAAAAAUAUAAUUUUGAAAAAAAAUCAUAAAAAAACCAUGUGUAGAAACACUGUAGCAAUCCACAAUAUUUUGUGAGAAAAGCCAUAAUUGUAAUUCUUAACCAGCCCAAUGGUGAAAACUAAAAAAAAAAACAAAAUAAAUAAAUAAAUAAUAUUGUAGCGUAACAUAAUAUGAUACAUAUAUGUAAUGAGAUACCAAGAAAUCCAAAUUCAUUUCAUUAUUUAUAUGUUGAAUAGUCAACAGACAAUGAAUCUUAAGUAGCAGCUCUGAUACAACAAUUGUAAGACAUAUACUCUAACAGAGUGGCUUAACACAACCAACCUUUUAAGCAUUUACCAGCUACUCACUGGAGUGUCAUGUCUUAUCAGAUGAUAACAAAAGCUUCUAGUUUAAAAUGUAAAGAGGUAAAAGAGCUUGAAGAACAGAGAAUUAGAAAAGCAAGUUCUUUAUUGAAGAGGCUUCUAGUCUACCAUCUUAAGGUUCUACCAUUACAACAUUACACACAGCCUCUAUAUAUAGUACUUUGAGGCUUUUGCUGACAUCAUUCAUUACAUCAGAAAGCAUUAAAGCACACUUAAUAAUGCACCCUUACAUGACUUAUGACACAAAUGACAAGCUAGUACAACACCAAUAUCAAUCGACAACACUAAUAUCAACCGACAAUAGGUUCAUGAUCUAGAGAGAGAUUUUGGUCUGACAGGUUAUCCUGAUCACGAAUAGUUUGGACUUAUAGGGCCAGCACAUAGUCAUCUUCUGCAAGUAUUUCCAUCUCAUGUGGUUCCAGAAGCUUUGGUAUUCCCAAAAUUAUUUAUUUGAGUUUUUUUUUUUUUGUACUGCCUCUGCAAGUUAUGAAGAUAAGCAGAAUAUUGAUAGUCAUAUAGAUCAUAGUCAAUUUCUUCAACAGGAUCUAUUUCUUUAAGCCAUAUUUCAUCAAGAAUAAUGUUGUUUUUAAGGCACACUAUUUUUUGCAAGGUCCUGAUGUCCUGGAGGUUAUCUAAGGGGUUUUCAUACAGGAGUAUGGAUGAGUUUUGUAUACUGCAGCCUGUGAAAAACUCAUAACCAUAUUGUCUGCUGAAGCUUUGAAAGGCAUGUGGAAUAUGAAAACAGAGAAUAGAUGGGAAAAAGCUUGCUUAACAGAUUUAUUACAAAGUGUACUGCGAUGUACUUCAAUCCAGCAGGUUUAUGCAUAGGGCUAUUUGGAUUUUUCCUGUUGGAGAAGAGAGAUCCAUUAUGUGGGGUUGUAGAACCACGUAAGGAACUUUAGAGUAUAGUUCCAAGAGUCUGCUAGCCAAGAUGUCCUGAGAAAUCUAGAACGAAAAAAAUUGGUGGGAAACUCAAUAACAAUAUGGUACAGGUGACAAAAAUACCAUAAGAAAAAGUAGAGUUCUUUGGGGAACAAUCCAGCAGGUUUGAAGGUGAAGAGGUGAAUGAAAGGAUAUUUAGGAUGGAUGCCUAAGCUUUUGAAACAAGGGGAAGACAUAUCAUAGUUGAGAAGAAGGUAGUCUUGGAGGCUAAAUAGUUUAUCUUUUGCUUGUAGGUCAAGAGUGUGGUUAAGAACCAUAUCUUGAGCAAGAAGGGGUAAGUCAUAUGCAGGGAAUUCUUGUUCAGGUGGAGGAAGAGUGGAAGAUAAGGCCAUAAGAAUCAGGGAAAUGAGUAGUGUUUAUGAUUUGGGUGGUCUGGUGAGCAUGUCUGGGAUCAAGUUCUUGUUCCUUUUUAUAUGCUCAACAGUGAAGGUGUACUUGGAAAACCACUCAGCUAAUCUCAGAAGCUAUGGAUGAGGAAGCAUCUUGCGCUUAAACUAUAACAUUUUUUGAAAUAAGGAACAGUCCAUGACAACUGUAAAGUGAUAGGCUGCUAGGUGAAACUCAAAUUUUUGGAUGCCAUACUUUACAAUUAAGAUUUCCCUGAAAGUGGAGUGGUAGUGGGUUUCUGACUCUUUGAAUGACUCACUUUUAUAGCCAUAUAUGUGUCGAUGGCCAUCUUUUUCUUCUAGGAGUACAACACUCCAAUACUUAUCAUUGGCAUCAGGUUAGAGUAUGCUUGUUCUAUUUAUAGAAUGACUAAAGCAGGUAAAUUUUGUGUGGGUGUCUUUAAUUAUCUGACAGCUUGAGUUUGCUUUUUUGUCUAAGAGUCUGCAUCUUUCUUGAGCAUGAGCUGAAAUGGCCUUGUCAUCUGUGCAACUCUAAGGAUAAAAUUUUUGAGAUAUUGGACAAUUUCCAAAAACUAUUGGACUUGCUUUCUUGUGAGGGGGCAUCUAAAAACUUUUAGAGUUCUUCAGCUAUAUAAGUGUCAGGUGUAUAAGCACCAUCUGCAAAGAUCAUACCAAGAAAUUUGAUUUUCUUUUGACAGAUGAGCUUCUUACUUUCAAAAAGCAUGAUACCAUGGUAGGGAACAAUCUCUGUAAAUUGCUUUAACAAAGUAGCAUGUGACUCUCAUCUUUGGAGAAAAGUAACACAUCAUCAAUGUAGAUUAAAGUUGAUCGAAUCAUGGGUUCAAAUACUUUAAUCAUGGCCUUUUGAAAUAAUAAGGGUACCACUUUGAGACCAAAAGGUAUGACUCGCCAUUGAUAAUGAUGGUCUGGUAUGUAUAAACCUGUUUUGUAUCUAUCUUUAGGAUGAAUGCCAAGUUGCCAAAAUCCGGUCUUGAGAUCAAACUUGGAGAAAACUUUGGCAUUGUAAAGGCAUAAGAAUAAUGUCAUUAUGUUUGGCAAAGGGAACUUAUCAUCUUGUAGGAAAUGAUUCAAGGGCUGAUAAUUAAUUACCAAUCUGAGCUUGCCUUGUUUUUGUUCAAACCUUUUAUUAACAUAAAAGGCUUCACAAGACCAUUAUGAGUCUGUAGGUUCAAUGAGACCUUAGGCCUGUAGCUGGACACAUUCAUCUUGAGCUAGAGUCUUGUGCUCAGGAUUCAUUCCUGAAUGACUGGCUUUCGUGGGAUUAAUGUCUUCAUUAUACUUGAGAGGAAGCUAAAUAAAAAAUAAAAAUAAAAACUAUAGAUUUUGCCAUUAUGUUUAGCAAGAAAUUCUUGAUGAGAGUUUGAACAUGAGUGUUGGAUAAUUUGGGCUUUGAUGAGGGAAAUGGUUUCUGUGAGAGAGGGUUGGAUUUCAUAGAGUGAAGGGAUAAUUGUAUAUGAGAGAAAAUGGGCUUUAUACUGAAUACCACGAGGAAGGAUUCUGAACUUGGAUUUGAAAUAAACAUCAAACCCAAUAACUAAAUCUUUACCAUGUAAAAAAAAACCAAGGACAUGGGUUUUGACUGAACAUUAGGGCAUGAUUUGUAUGGUAAUGGGCUUUUUAAUUUUGAAGUGGGUGUAUAAUACUUGAUCAUCUACAGCUCAAAAGUAUUCUGUAUGUGGGACCCAACAAUGUAUUGGAAGAACUUUAGGGUUAAGAAUGGUUCUAUGGGCUCUUGUGUCAAAUAAGGCUAUGGCUUUGAUGGGCUUAGCAUAUGUGGAGGUAAGAAUGGUAACAGGGGCUUAGCAUAGUCGUAGACGUAACCGUGGGCAUUACUAAGGGUGUAACUGCUUGUGUAGCCAUGUGGGUGCAUAAUUGUGGGCAUAACCACAAGCAUAACUACUAGGAUGUCAUUGGCGCAACCAUAGACACAGUCACUGACACUAGCCAUUAGAAGGGCUUUUGAGAAAUAUGAAUAAACUAGCUUUUUAUUUAGUUUCCACAAAUGGUGUCAAUGAUGAGGUCCUAAAAAAUCCAUGUAGCUUAGGAGCAUGACUUAUAUAUUGGAUAAUCAAUUCAUUUCUUGGUUCUAGCAAUCUGAUCAAUUCUCUCUAGCCAAGGUGAUUGGUAGCUUCCACCUCGUGCCUGGUAAGUUAGGGUGAGAAUGAAGAGAUUAUGAUCUUAGAGCUUGAAAGAUUCAUGGGGUAAUUAUAGCUUAUAAGUCUUAUUAUUUUAUAGAGAAAAAUGGUUGAAUUAUUUCAUCCCUAAAAUAUUUUGAGUUAUAUUUCACUCAAAAUAAUAUGUAUUGAAUUAAUAUAAAAUAUUGAGAAAUCUGUAUGGGUCCUGAAAAAUUACCGAGGAAUUGUUGGGCUCAAACAAGUUGAUUAAACCAUUUGGAGCAAAAAAUUAAUCUAGAUGCAUUUCCUGAAGCUCAUAGUCAUUGGGGAUUUUAAGCUGAUUAAAUUUAAAUUUAUCACUUCCUAUAAACUUUAAAGAAGUGAGAUGCUUCAGUUUCAUUCUAGAGGUAUAGAAUUAGUUUUACUAGUGGGUAUAGAAUGUAUGGUUAAAGGGUUCUCUUUUCUUUACGCAAACAAUUGGUAGGACUUCUUUUCACGCAUGCUAGGGGUGAUAUUUUUAACCAUUUGUUUUGACUUGAAAAAACUUCAUUUACCCUACCUUGCAAUUCCAUUUAUACAAGCACUUGUUUAUUUUUAUAUUUUAAAAAUAUUUUUGAUUAGUUCUUUUUAUAUUUUUAAAUUAUUUUAAUAUAUAAAUAUUAAAAAUAAUUGCUAAAAUAGUUACUACUGCAUUAGGAUUUUAUCAUAUGUGGCAUAAUCAUGGGUAUAACCAAAAGCAUAAUUGCUAGCAUGUCAUUGCAAUAAUUGUAAAUAAUGAAUGACAUAGCCACCACUACGUUAGGAUUUUUUCAGCCGUUAAAAAUGCUUUUGAGAAAUAUAAAUAAUCUAGCUUUUUGUUUAGUUAUCAUAAAUAGUACCAAGUAGUGGGGGUGGUUCACGCUGACGUUAAUGUUUUUGGCAUAAAAAAAUAUUAAUAUUUAAAAGUUAGUUUUAUCUGUAAAGUAAAACCAAGACUCUUAAUCUGACUGUAACCCAAUAUUAUUAAUCUGACUGUAACCCAAUAUUAAUAUUUUUAAUAUUAAUAAUAAUAUUAAACUUGUUAGAUCUAAAUUCUUAUAUUUUUUUAUUUUUUUAAAUCAAAUUUAUAGUUUUUUUUUUAUACUAAUAAUUUUUUUUAAAAACAUUAUUAAUUAUAAUGAUAAUGAUAACAAUAAAAAUAAUAAUAAAAAUAAGAAUAAAACUAAUGAUUAUAAACUUAGAUAUGACGUCCCAGCUAGACCCAAGUUUGAGUCUAGUUAACCUAAUAAAAAUAAAAUAAAUAAUAUUUAUAAUAAUAACAAUAACAAUAAUAAUAUUAAAUAUAUUUGACCUAAAUUCUUAUAAUUUUUGAUCUCUUCGAAUAAAAUUUUAUAGUUUUUCUACAAUAAUAAUAAUAUUAUUUUUUUCAAAAUUAAUAAUAAUAACAAUAUUAAUAAUAAAAAUAAUAUUAAUAAUUAUAUUAUAAUAAAAACAACAACAGCAACAAUAAUAAUUUUUAAUUUUACUCUUUAAAUCAAAUCUAUUCAUACUAACCGCUGUUCAUGUAAUGGAGCGCAAGCUCUAACAUCAUUUGAGUUACGUUGAUGCUUACGUUAGAAAUUGUUCUUGGAUGACUACGAAGUCUCUUCAUUCACUUCCUCUAUUUAUGGCAGUUUCCUUUUAUUUGCUAGGCUGAGCCGAGAACUCGUACACACACUGAGUCCGUCAUUCUUGAGAAGCAAAUUAAACAAGAACAAGAGAGAUGGCAACAGUGAGAAGGAUCAAGCUGGGGUCACAGGGACUUGAAGUAUCAGCACAGGGACUUGGAUGCUUGGGCAUGUCUGCCGACUACGGCCUUCCAAAACCUGAAUCGGACAUGAUAGCCCUCAUCCACCACGCCGUCAACACUGGGGUCACUUUACUCGACACCGCCGAUGUCUAUGGACCCCACACCAACGAAAUCCUUCUGGGCAAGGCCUUGAAGGCGGGAGGAUUACGACAGAGAGUUGAAUUGGCCACCAAAUUUGGCCUCAGCAUUAAGGAUGGCACUUUUGAGGUUCGAGGGGAUCCUGCUUAUGUGAGAACUGCUUGCGAGGCCAGCUUGAAACGCCUUCAACUUGAGUCCAUUGAUCUUUAUUACCAACAUCGCAUUGAUACCAGCGUUCCUAUUGAAGCUACGGUAUUUCUCUUUAAUUGUUUUUGUUUCUGAAUAUUGUUCUGAUUAAUCUUGAUCGUUCGAUGGCGAUGAUGAUAGUUAGAGAAUUUUCUUUUACUUGAUGAUAUAUUUUCCAGAUCUGUAACAGGAAUAUCCAAAAAUCCUAAAACUUCAGCAUAAACCCACUAAAACUAUAGAUUAGACACGGUACUGAUGAUACCGUCAUGCUUGUUAUGUGCAUUGACAUCUUGCAAUGGUCUCUUUCUUAGCUGGAUUCUGACAAUGCUACUAUUGGGUACUGUCCCUGCAUUCUAGAUGUCUUGCAGUUGUGUACUCAUAACUCUUUUCUUUGCUAGAUGGGGGAACUCAAGAAACUAGUUGAAGAAGGUAAAAUAAAGUAUAUAGGUCUGUCUGAAGCCUCUGCUUCAACAAUCAGACGAGCUCACGCUGUUCAUCCGAUCACAGCCGUGCAGUUGGAGUGGUCACUGUGGUCAAGAGAUGUGGAGGAAGAGAUUGUUCCUACCUGCAGGUGAGGCAUUGAUGAGAAAAACUAAUUUCCUUUGGAGAUCAAAAUAACCGAAACCUUAGGCUGUUUAUGGGAUGCCUUAGAUAUCGAGAUUCUGAUCUUAUCAUUCUAAUGGUUCAGGGAACUUGGCAUUGGGAUUGUUGCUUACAGUCCUCUAGGACGGGGAUUCCUUUCCUCUGGGCCUAAGUUGGUUGAGAGCCUUACAGAUGGUGACUUCAGAAAGGUAGGUUCUUUUCUUUUUGAACAUAGAGUUUGUGAUCUGUGUAAUACAUGUCCAGUAAAUAACCAAUUGUACAAGCAUAAUCUUUUACAGUUUGGAAAGGAAGUAAUGUCACAAAUAACAUUUCCUCCUUUGACAGUUAUAUGCGUUACAUAAUAAUAUAAAACCAUUCUUGAAAACUCAUCUAAUAACUUAAACUUUUAAGUAACGAGUUUUUGACAAUAUAUUGGUUAGCUUAGAUGCCUCAAAAAAUAGUCUCUUCCAUCUUAUGGAGUGGUUUGGUGGUCUAAACUCCAUUGAAGAAACUUGCACAAAGUAAAAGUUUAGCUUUGAGAUCAUUAUAUAUUUUUACCUAGCAGUUCCUUCACAUUUGCAUUAUUCCUACAAAUAUGCUAUACACUUGGAUUGCUUAAAGAUUCAAUCAAAUAAAACACAGAUUUACAGGAUCUCCUUGUAUUAGACAGGUGGCUUUAGUUUGUCCCAUGCAUGUCCAAACAAAAAGUUGUGCAUACUUAAUGUUUUGCUUAAAUCGUUCUCUCUGAUAUUCAAUCUUCAGUACUUUUGAAUUCCUAAAAUCUGCUCACUCGCCUUGUACAUGGGAAUUUGGCAUGCUUGCACCCAUAAAAAACUGCGUUGUAUACAAUAUCAUGAUGGUUUGCGUUUAGUACUAGGAAGUUUUGUUAUGGCAAGAAGGACAUGUUGCAUAAACUAUAAUCUAUGAUGCUUUCUUCUUGAUGAGUUUUGUCAGGCUUAGCUGCUGAAAUUAACUAGUGUUUCAAUUGUCUCAGCGAUUGCCUAGGUUCCGACCUGAAAAUCUUGAACACAAUACACAACUAUUUGAGCGGGUUAAGGAAAUGGCAGCAAGGCGGAUAAUAAUAUUAUCUAUAAUUGAAUCCAUACCUGGAUAUCUUCUAUUGGUCUUUGGGAGACUCUGCCCUUGUACUUUCGCCAUUAUUCGGCGCCAACGUCAACACUUCUGCCCUUCCUUCACUCUUCAUCGGGACUUACUUGUGCUAUUCAGACGCUAUUCAGGCGACUUAAGAAGUAGGCUACUUACAGAAUGCAGGUAGACCGUUUAGAAGUUCUUACGAACUUAAGAUUAUCUACAAAUGUAGAUAUAUUAAACUUUUAAAUCCUGUUAAGGAUUUCUUUUAUUGAAAGGAAAACUUUGUUACAAGAUUGAGAGGUUUUUCAAACAGGGUUGGUGCUUCAGAUUAGUUCUGAAGUUCUAAUUACAUGGUGUAUGGCUUUUAUAGCCGAAAAUUGGAAUAGUAAAAGAACUACAUAGUUCCUUUUUAUAGUGGUAGGGUCCACUGAACAGUAGCCUGACUAAUUACAUUUCGUCGGCUUCUCUUUUCUUUCCUAGCUGGCAGGAAUCUUCUGAGUGCUCUCCACUAUUGGAGGAACAAGUCUCCAUCAUGUCUUCUUCUGGACAGAAGUCACAUUUGUGGUCCUCACUGGCGUAGGAGCAAAAUUUUCUCUUUGUAGCCACUGAGAUGGCUAGGUCAUUGCAGUAGAACUGUUUCUCGAACCGUUCUAUUCUUUGGCAAUCUUCUGGACUGAUGGUUUGAAGACUAUCUGUGGCCAUUAAUACAUGGUCGCUUUGAUAGUUGAUUCUGACUUUUGAAUCAGUAUACAGGGAGGUCCUGAUCUUUUUUAGGACAUGUCCUAAAGUUUGUGCUCUCAACUUUGGCAAAGCUUCGUGCAGGUUGGGAGUCAUAUUUUUUUUGUUUCUGUACAUGGACGUACAUCUAUCUGCUUCCUGAGCAGUCCCAUUUUGAUGAAAUGGUAAGCAGGAUAGUUCCUGAGACUAUCAGUCUCAUCUUCAGUUUCUUCCCAGUCAAGGAAUGAGCUUUUAAAAGAGAGAUAUACUCUCCGUUCUGGGUUCUGGAGAACCUUCUGGCGAUAAUGCUUCACCGCUGUUAACACUUUGUUGGAAGGAGACUAAUCUCCUUAAGAUUUGAGCUGGGGUAUGCUGCAUUUAGUAACCCACAAUAAUAUAAUGUCUGAACAAACUUAGGUUCAGCACCUAUGGUUACGUUGUAUAACGGAAUCCUUUGGUUUCACUUAUAAAAAAGUGGUUUUGUUCAUCAGAACAGGUUGACUCGGCUAGAGUAUAGUAAUGGUCAAAAGUUUCAAUAGGAAUGAACUCAUGAUCAUCUGGGUUUUGGACCCUAACUUUUUGGAACCUUGAAAGGGUUCUUGGGAUGACCGGACUAGCGGGCAUUUUAGCUUUGUCUGCAAAGGUUGGUGUCUUUGAUAUUUUAGGCUGGAUAAUAUCAGCUGGUGUAAUCAAUCGAGGGACACUUUGGAUUGGGGUAUUGUGUUUGACACAAUAAUCAUAAAAUGCUUUACGAGCAAGCUCGUAUGAUUUGUAGCCUUGGUAGGCAUAUGGCUUACCUGAUACCAGUGGCUGGACAGUUGACCAUUCUCUAUAGACACCUGCUGAAGGGCCUGAAAAAAUAACAUAACAUUUAUGUGCUUCUGGCACAGAAUAUGGAUUAGAGAGCUUUAAAGCUGACUCUAUCUUUUGUAAUCCUUGAUCAAGGACUUUUGGUGUCGAGAUAACCAAAUCUUCUGGACUGGAAGGAGUCUGUGAAGACUGACCAGUUUUUUCCUUGGCAACUGCCAUCUUUUCUGAAAAUCUUUCAAGAAGACCUUCUGCACUAAUUGGAAUAGUGUCUAACUUUUGAGAGAGUUUACCUCUUUUUUCAGUGAGCCGCUCAAGCUUGAGUUGCUUUUCCUGAAUCCUUUUUUGCGUCUUGGCAAUCUUUAUGUCGAGAUCAUUGAUCUCUUCUACUAUGUCUGUUCUAGACAUAUCUUUGAUAACUCUCGAGAGAGAGCGUCUGCAAACACGUUCUUGAUGCCUUCAACGUGUUCAAAUUCUAUGUCAAAGUAUUGCAACCAAAGUUGCCACCUGACUAAUCUUCCUUGCUUGUAAGAACCUGUAAUGUUAGUGUUUAAGAAAUAAAACACAUGUUUAUUGUCAGUUCUUGCUUUGAAUCUCACUGGGAUAAGAUAUACUGAAAACCGUUUAAUGGUAUUUAUAAGGGCGAGGAGCUCUUUUUCAUUACUGUGGUAAUUUUGUUCUGCGGGUUUAAAAGUCCCACUAGCAUAUCCACAUAUUAACUCUGGUCCUUCUUCAGGCUGUGAUUUAAGGAUUCCUCCCCAAUAUUUAUCUGAGGCAUCAGUCUCAAUAAUUAAAGGCUCAUCUGGUCCUGGGUGGUGGACAGGUGGAAGAUGUUUAAUUGCCUUUUUAAUUUUAUCGACAUAGUCGGUAUCUUCUUUUGACCACUGCCAAACAGUGUCUUUCUUUAGUUUUGCCUGUAGAGGUUGGCGAAUCUGUGCAACCUUAGGGCAGAAAUUAGAAACAUAAUUCAAUAUUCCUAAAAAUCUUUGUAACUGUUUCUUAUCAGUUAUAUUACUGUCAAAUUCACCUAGGUGAUUACCUAUAUGACUUUGAAGUUUUAUUUGUCCUUUAUCAAUUAUUAGACCGAGAAAGUUAAUGCUUUCUUUAAAUAAUUGAGCUUUAGGUAAAGAUAAGAUUACUCCUAUUUCUUUACAUCUGUCUAGUACUUUUGAACGAACAGAUUUAAUGCAGAGUGGUGAUAUGCCUCUCAGUAUUACCUAUAAGAUUUGUUAUUCAUUAACAAAUAGUCAUCAUUCUAUGAUGUUUAAAAAUAAAGAUCCCAUCAGUAUUGAAGGAAUCUUUAAAGAAUUUGGACAGAUAUCCAGCAUACCGUUUCAAAAGGUUGAACCUCUUGAGUCAGUUUGGGCUAUGGACUUAAGUCCUAAACCCUUCUUAGGUGCCCAACCUAAGUUAAAAAUUAUGGGAACUCCGAAUUCACAGUUCGGGUUGAGGAAUCUCAGAGAGAUUGGUGGACGUCCAGUCCAACAACAAAAUACAAUGGAUAGGAAAGGAAUUCCUAUGCUAGUAAACCAAGAAUAUUCAUCUGAAGAAGAUGAACGACCAACAGUCAUAAAUAAUUGGACAUACAAUCCAAAAUGGAAUGGAGAGUCAUCUUCCUCACAAAACCCUGAAGCUUUAGUCAAAGCUAGAUAUAGGAUGAAUGGUUUACCACCACCACAAAAUGAUAGCUUGUCCGCUAUAAGUAAAAGGAUAAAUCAUCUUAGUUUAGAUUUAUCAGACCAAGAAAUAUGAAUAAUCCUCAUCAAGGAAAACCUCAUAUCUUCUUUAAUAAAAAAUAUAUUGGUUUAAAACACCAAAAUGUUACGGUUAAUCCACCGCCUUAUACUUAUCACGGAGGACGUGGUAUUGAUGGUUGUCUCAACCAUUUAAACAAUAUUAAUUCAGUCUUAGGAUCUGUGUUAAUAAUGAUUACUAGCCUUACCAGUAUGUUUGGUUUCCAACCCAAACACAUUUUUCAGUGAGGGGGAUAGUGACAUUGAAGACUUCCCAAAACCAACAAAAAAUCCACAAUUCUUAGAUAAUGGAUUAAAAGAUUUAGUUUCAAAUGUUCAUACAACAUUAGGAACUCUAGAAAAAGAUUAUAAAACUUCUAAAGUUUUACUAGAAAACAUGCAUCUAAGACUUCAGUCCUUAGAACAAAAAUUAGGAUCUUUAGAUUCUUUACAAAAUUCCAUACAAGGAAUAGAUUUACAAAAGAUUGAACAAAUCCUAACUGUUGUUCAAAAUAUCGAUCAAAAGGUUUAGUCAAGAUGACUACGGGAAAAAUAGAUAGCCUAGAAAAGGUUAUUACAAAACUAGCAGAAGACUUUAGGUUGCUAGAAGACAAACAGAUUACGGUCCUACAAAGACACGUAGAAACCUCUGCAGCAUCUAUUAUUGCUGCCUUAAGGAAAGAUCUAGAUGAGAUCAAGAAAAGCCUGUUAAUCAUGACAGAUGCCAUAAAUUAUUGUGCAAACACUAACAUUUCAGGCCCUUCAGCAGGUGUCUAUAGAGAAUGGUCAACUGUCCAGCCACUGGUAUCAGGUAAGCCAUAUGCCUACCAAGGCUACAAAUCAUACGAGCUUGCUCGUAAAGCAUUUUAUGAUUAUUGUGUCAAACACAAUACCCCAAUCCAAAGUGUCCCUCGAUUGAUUACACCAGCUGAUAUUAUCCAGCCUAAAAUAUCAAAGACACCAACCUUUGCAGACAAAGCUAAAAUGCCCGCUAGUCCGGUCAUCCCAAGAACCCUUUCAAGGUUCCAAAAAGUUAGGGUCCAAAACCCAGAUGAUCAUGAGUUCAUUCCCAUUGAAACUUUUGACCAUUAUUAUACUCUAGCCGAGUCAACUUGUUCUGAUGAACAAAACCACUUUUUUAUAAGUGAAACCAAAGGAUUCCGUUUAUACAACGUAACCAUAGGUGCUGAACCUAAGUUUGUUCAGACAUUAUAUUAUUGUGGGUUACUAAAUGCAGCAUACCCCAGCUCAAAUCUUAAGGAGAUUAGUCUCCUUCCAACAAAAGUGUUAACAGCGGUGAAGCAUUAUCGCCAGAAGGUUCUCCAGAACCCAGAACGGAGAGUAUAUCUCUCUUUUAAAAGCUCAUUCCUUGACUGGGAAGAAACUGAAGAUGAGACUGAUAGUCUCAGGAACUAUCCUGCUUACCAUUUCAUCAAAAUGGGACUGCUCAGGAAGCAGAUAGAUGUACGUCCAUGUACAGAAACCAAAAAUAUGACUCCCAACCUGCACGAAGCUUUGCCAAAGUUGAGAGCACAAACUUUAGGACAUGUCCUAAAAAAGAUCAGGACCUCCCUGUAUACUGAUUCAAAAGUCAGAAUCAACUAUCAAAGCGACCAUGUAUUAAUGGCCACAGAUAGUCUUCAAACCAUCAGUCCAGAAGAUUGCCAAAGAAUAGAACGGUUCGAGAAACAGUUCUACUGCAAUGACCUAGCCAUCUCAGUGGCUACAAAGAGAAAAUUUUGCUCCUACGCCAGUGAGGACCACAAAUGUGACUUCUGUCCAGAAGAAGACAUGAUGGAGACUUGUUCCUCCAAUAGUGGAGAGCACUCAGAAGAUUCCUGCCAGCUAGGAAAGAAAAGAGAAGCCGACGAAAUGUAAUUAGUCAGGCUACUGUUCAGUGGACCCUACCACUAUAAAAAGGAACUAUGUAGUUCUUUUACUAUUCCAAUUUUUCGGCUAUAAAAGCCAUACACCAUGUAAUUAGAACUUCAGAACUAAUCUGAAGCACCAACCCUGUUUGAAAAACCUCUCAAUCUUGUAACAAAGUUUUUCCUUUCAAUAAAAGAAAUCCUUAACAGGAUUUAAAAGUUUAAUAUAUCUACAUUUGUAGAUAAUCUUAAGUUCGUAAGAACUUCUAAACGGUCUACCUGCAUUCUGUAAGUAGCCUACUUCUUAAGUCGCCUGAAUAGCGUCUGAAUAGCACAAGUAAGUCCCGAUGAAGAGUGAAGGAAGGGCAGAAGUGUUGACGUUGGCGCCGAAUAAUGGCGAAAGUACAAGGGCAGAGUCUCCCAAAGACCAAUAGAAGAUAUCCAGGUAUGGAUUCAAUUAUAGAUAAUAUUAUUAUCCGCCUUGACUGGCUUGUAUUAAAUGAUGCAUCUACUCUUAGGAUGUUUAUAGAUAAAAUUCAGAAUAAAAUAGAUAUGCUUGAAGAUAGCAUUCCAGAGUAUAUAGAUGAUGAUUGGUUUGACCAACCAGAAAAUGUUCCCUUAAGUUAUAAACUUAAAAUGUUUAGACGUUUGAAAAAGAAUAUUUUAAAAUUACUAGAAGAAGCUGUGGAUGAUUCACAGAGACCUGAUGCUGUAGAUAGCAGUGAUAUAGAUACUAUCAGUGAAAAUGGUAGUUAUAACCCUGACAACCUUUAGGUUGUUGUAUAUCGGCUGGAAACCUGUACAUUGAACCUUGGUUCUAACCUCAGGUAUAACAAUGCCACGUACAACAUUUAGUUGUAUAAAAGAAAAUAGGUUGAUUUUAACCUUUAAAAUAAUUCCGCAAGGGGUUGCAAUUCCAAAUGGUAUCAGAGCCUUGUUUUGAUUAAAAGUAUAUGUUUCCUCGUCUUUGUCGAGAAACUAACAUUGCAGAAAUGAGUUCUAAUACUCAACACGAAGAAGAUUCAGACUUCCAUCAAGAAGUUUUCGAAGCAGAUGGUAUCUUUGCCCAAGAUGUCACGAUAGACAGUAAUGUCUUAGACCAGGUAAGUAAGACAGACUUAUCUUUAAAUUCAGAUGAUGUAUUUAAUUCGUUAGGUGCUAUAGCUAGCUUACGUAAUAAAUUGUUUAAACGUAAGAAUCAUAUUAUUACCUGUGUAGGUACUAGAGAAUAUCCUAUAGAUAUAAAAGAUACACGUGGUAGUACAGAAAUCCCUCUAGUUUUAGAGCAGGAAAUAUCUCAGAAACUUGCUAAGUUACCUACUGAGAUACGAAAAACUAUUUCUUACAUACACGUAGGAAGUAUAAAAGUUAUGAUGAAAUCUACCUUUAGAGUAGGUAUCAAUAGUCCUGUCAAGAUGGCUAUUCUAGAUAGGCGCAUGAACAACCCCAAAGAUGCUAUCUUUGGAGCUGUACAAGGAAAUUUAGCUUAUGGUAAGCUUAUUGGUCCAUUCAUUAUGGUCGUUGGCCAUAUAAUAUUCUAACAGUUGUUCCUUAACUGUCUUGUAUUCCUUCAUGGUCUUGGAAUAUAUGUGAAGGCUGAGAUUACAGCUGGUUUUAAUCCUGAUGGGGAUUUGUCAUCUUUGGCCAUACCUAUGGUAGGUGGUCGAUUGGACUGAGGUGACUCUAUAGGUGAGGCAGUAGGGACACUACCUAAUUUUUUCUCAAAAGCUGCGAGAAUCUCUUUAUUGCAUUCACAUGCUUUUAUACUGUUUGCACAAUAAUUUAUGGCAUCUGUCAUGAUUAACAGGCUUUUCUUGAUCUCAUCUAGAUCUUUCCUUAAGGCAGCAAUAAUAGAUGCUGCAGAGGUUUCUACGUGUCUUUGUAGGACCGUAAUCUGUUUGUCUUCUAGCAACCUAAAGUCUUCUGCUAGUUUUGUAAUAACCUUUUCUAGGCUAUCUAUUUUUCCCGUAGUCAUCUUGACUAAACCUUUUGAUCGAUAUUUUGAACAACAGUUAGGAUUUGUUCAAUCUUUUGUAAAUCUAUUCCUUGUAAUCCUGCAUUUGCGCGCAAUUUUCAAUGUAAUCCUUGGAGUUUAAUUUUGCAAUUUUGACCCCAAACUUUAAUAUUUCUUCAAUUAAAUCUCUGAAUAAGUUAAUUCCAAGCUCAAUUAAGUCUAAAGCUUAUCAAUUCUCCGAUUAAACCCUUAAUUGGAUUAAUUAAAUUAAUUACAAGCUCAAUUAAGUCUCAAAACUUAUCAAUUCUCCAAUUAAACCCUUGAUUGGAUUAAUUAAAUUAAUUCCAAGCUUAAUUAGAUUAAUUCCAAAGUUUAAUUAAACCCCAAAACUUCCAAUCAUGUUGCCCUUAACUCAAAUUUUAAUUCAUUCUUUAUUUAUUUCAUUUUACUUAUUUUUCAUUAUUUUUUUUUUAUCAUCAAUUUUUUACCCUUUUCAGUAAAUAAAAUAAUAACAAUAAUUAAAAUAAAAUGGUCAAAAAUUGGAUUAUGACAAGUGGAAAUUCUAUCAUUAAGGGUUCUAAAUGAUGUAAAACUAAAAGAAUCAGAAUGUGCAGAUCUAAAAUUUGAGUAACGGAGUCUAAUCAACGAGAAAAGAUUAGUAGUAAUUUGUCAUCAUUAACUAUACCAGAGUAGAAUGGUUAAGGUAUACAACAAGAGAGUUAGAACAAAGGUAUUCAAAGAAGGAGACUAGGUAUCGAAAAAGAUCUUGCCAACAUCGGGAGAUGAUCAGAGCAAAUGGACAUCGAAAUAUGAAGGACUAUAUAUGGUGAAUAAAGCCUUUUCUAAAAAAGCCUUGGUUCUGACCAAGAUGGACGAAGAUGAUUUACCUAACCCUGUAAACUCUAACAUUAUAAAGAAGUAUUAUGCAUGAUGUACUUUGUUGAUAUAUCAAUAAAGAUCAAAGUUUGGCCACAAAUGUUUUGAUGCAAUUUCUUUUUGUAAACUUUAAAAAGCUUUACAUGAUUUCAUAGGCUCAAAAUACCUCAUUUUUGUGUUUUUAUAAAAAUAUUUUUUAGAAAAUAAAAGUUAUUAGCAUGAUUGUUAAAAUCGCGUUGUACGAUUUUAUGAGUCAAAACAUGCUUUGUGUGCUAAAUCGUUUGAAAAAAUCAAAAAUUGGUGAAAUCUGGUUGAAAUCGUUAAAAUCAGGUGAAAUCAUGAAAAAUCGCGAUUUCAAGGCCGAUUUCAUGAUUUUAACAAAACGCAUGCACUGAAGCAAAAUGUUCCCCCCAUGCUCUAGAUGUCCAACGCCUAUUGGUUGUGCAAAUGCACAGUCACAUGGUCUUCACUCGAUGUAGAACAUGUGGAUUUUUUCUGCAUACCAUAAAGAAGUGGAGGUUAGAAAUCAAGAGGGCUGCAGAGAUUAAAGUAAGGAAAUAAUAUUAAAUUCCAAUUUAAUUUAGAUUUUUUCUCUAUAUCUUUUACUUUUCUUUGUUAUGUUUGUUGUAACCCAUUUUCGGGUCCCCAAAUAAAUGAAAUAAAAUAAUUAGCCAAAGGAGGUUAGAAAAAUAAUAGGAGGCAGAAGCGCUCGGCAAAUGGUCAGAAAAAUCGGUCAAGGAGGUUAAAAAAACAAAGAUUGGAUUUUUGACAGUAUAUUCUUGAAGGAUGAGAGCCCUGUUGAGAAGGAAAUUUGAAUUUUGAGGAGAAAAACCCAAGUUUGGAUGUUUAUGGACUUAAUUGGAUUUUUAAUUGAUUUUAUAGGGGAUUUGAUUGCAAGAAAAAUUGAUUUUUAAGUCAAUUUGGACUUUAAUUAGAAGAAAUUUAAGUUCUGGGGCCAAAAUAUAUUUUUUAGGAAUUUAUUAGGCCAAAUCAGGGGCUUAAUUGAAUAGAUAUUGAAGUUUAAUGGUCAAUUAGGGGUUUAAUUGUGAAAAAUCGAAACCAGGGACCAAUUUGGAAAAACCCGGUAAAUAGAGGGGGCUGUUUUGCUUUGGAUCAGGGGCCUAAUUGAAGAAAUUGGAAGUUUAUUGAUCAAUUGAGGGCUUAAUUGCAUAAAUCAGAGGCCAAAGACCAAAGUGAAAAACGCGGCCAACAAGAGGGACGGUGACCGAAUUGGCAGGGACGCAAUUGAAAUGAUUAAGGAUUGAUUCGCAAAAGCAUUCUGGCGCCUUUUUGUUUAAAUGAAACGGCGCGUUUUGAACGGCACUGUUCCCCUUUCUUCUUCCCCUCCCCCGAACCUGCAACAGAAGAAAAAUUGUGUUUUUUUAAAAAAAAAACUUCCCGCUCUCUCUCUCCCCUGCAUCUCCACAGAAUUACCUGAAGCCCCCACACCGUGGGACCACCGACCAAAGGCAUUGGCCGACCACCGGCCGAAAGUAGAGAAACGGCCUUGUUGUCGCGGGUGGUGGCCGACCAGCCACCCGCGAAACCCGCUCCAAGGCGCACUAACAAUGGUCUCCCACACCUGUUCUGCCCCUAUAAAUAGAGAAGAAAAUCGAAGAAAAAGAAAGGAGGAGGGACCCGAGAGAGGACCGAGAGAGAGAAAGAGAGAGAGAGUGAACCGAACACUUGGAAACAGCCGCAGCGCCGCCGCCCGGAGCCACCGUGCACGAGCCACACCACCGCCAGCGACCGCCUCCUCCACGCCAGGUACAUUUUCUUCUCCCCCCAUUUUUUUUGUCUUCUGCAGGUUUGCCUCCUGCAUGCAUUCUGCAUGCAGGAGGCGGGGGAAGAAAAUUAAUUCUUCCCCCGCUGGGCCAGCCCGAUGCUGGCCCAGCCUUGCAAGUCUGGGCCGGUCUUGGCCCAGACGUAGGAGUUUUUCGGGCCGAGAUCGGCCCACUUGAGUUUCUCGGGCCGAGAUCGGCCUAAUUUUGUUUCUCGGGCCGAGAUCGGCCCGUCUCCUUUUUAGGGCUGGGCUGGCCCAUUCACUUGGGCCGGCCCAGCCCUAUAAUAUAUUAUAUAUUAUUAUAAAUUAUAAUAUAUAUGUGUGUAUAUGUUAUAUAUAUAAAAAAAAAAUAUUUAUAAAAAAAAUCUAUAAAAUCUAUAAAAAAAAAUGUUGUUAUUUUCCUUUCAUAUAUAUAUAUUUUUUAAGGGGGUUUGUAUUUUUUUUUAUACUGUGGAGGUAUAAAUUCAGUAUUUAAAAUAUCUUAUUUUCGUCGAGACACCCGAAAUUUUCAAAGAUAAAUUUAUUUUUUGCUUUCAAAGAUUUCUAAAAUUCCUUAAAAAUAUUGUUGAUUUUUUUCGUACAUGUUUUAAAAUGACUUAAUAUUAGUUUGUAUUUUUUAUACUGUGGAGGUAUAAGUUCAGUAUUAAAAUACCCGAUUUCGUAAAAAAAAAAUAUAUUGUUUAAAAAAAAAAUGUUUUCUUGCGUGUUGCAUACGGCCAAUACUCUAACAUGUUUUGAAUGUUCUUUUUAUAAAAAAAAAUAUAUUGGAAGCUUCGAAAGUGUGUUUUCGCAUAGAUUUCUUAAACACAAAUUAUUUUCUUGCAUUUCUGGAUUUUACAACAUGUUUGUAAAACUCCAAAGGGUAUUGGCCAAUAUUCCAAAAACUAUAAAAAAAUCUUAUUUUUAGGGAGGAAAUUUAUUUAUUAUUCACCGCUAAUGUUUGGAUAAAGAAAUCCUUAAAAGGAUGAAUAUCCAAAAUAUUAUUUGGAGUAAUAAAUCCGCACACAUUCUUGAAAGAAGCCUUGAUUAUAAUAGAGGACAUUUCAAAACUUCAAAUUUUUAUAUUCCACGAUUUAUGAGUCGCAAACUCUUGAAAUACUAAGGGAAAAUGAGCUUUCAAAGCACAUGGAAUCUCCUUAGAUUUCUAUCCAAAAUCAAUUGACAAGCCUAGAAAAUACCAACACCAUAGCAAUUGUAGAGCAAACCAAACACCAAGCAGCUUACCUUAGGUAUGGCGUACUAGGGGUGCUAAUACCUUCCCUUUACGCAACCAGUCCCUUGCCUUAGAAUCUCUGAAAGACCAGUUAGGGUUCCUAGUGAACAAAAUACUAGGUGGCGACUCCAAAGAACCAAAUCAGCAAAAAAAGAACAAAACGAAAGUCGCCAGUCGAAUGUCGCAAAAAAACAAAAAUUUUGGAUUUUUUUUGGGGUGCGACAAUGUUAUUUUGGCUAUUCAUUGACCUUAAAUUACUUAUGUUUUUUAAUGGUAUGAUAGCAAGUAGAAGAGAUUUUAUAAAUAUAAAUUAGAUAUAAAAAUAGUAACAGGAUAAUUUAAAAAAUUAUAUUUAUUUAAUGGGUUGAUUCACAAAACUCAUAAUUAGAAGCUUAACUCAUGUCAGGUUUUAAUUUAUACAAAUAAAAACACUAAUUUUAAUAAAUUUGAUUACUUUAACUAUAUUUUUAACCAUUUAUUUAACCCGAUCAAAUUUGAUCAAAACUCAAUUAAGUUAAAUCAAAUAAUUUUUUUAAAAAAUAAAUUGUGUUGUUUCAAUCAAAUAAUUAAAAAAUAAUAACCCCAGCUCCUAAAAUAUACUCAAACAAAAUAAUCAUUGACUUGCACAAUUAAAUAAAUAUUUUUCCAUCCCAUAAAUAAUUGAAUUCAUUCCUUCAAUUUACUCGUGGAUAACCUGUCGCUCCAACUUAAAAACCACGCAUAAUCCAUUCGGAUAAUCAUCGAUUUGUCAUCCAUCGAGUGAAAGGCAACUUAGAAAUGCAAGCACCGCCUGUUAACCAUGGAGAAAACUGAAACAGGUAAAGUUUGCACAACAAAGGAGCAGCCAACUUCGCCAUUAACAAGCCCAGUAGAGCUCAAAAACUAUAUAGAAGAGUUAGUUCACUCCUGGGGUUCAAUUUAGGCUCCUCAAAGGAGUCCUCUUCUAGUUCUCCUUACAUGCCCAAGAUGAAUGGUGAUGUCGAGGCAGCUAACAAAAAUCUUAAAAAGAUCAUCUAGAAAAUGAUAGUCACCUACAAAGACUAGCGCGAGAUGCUUCCAUACGUACUUUUCGCAUACUACACCACAGUUAGAACUUCUACAGGUGCAACCUUUUACUUUUUGGAAUAUGGGAUAAAAGCGAUGAUACCUUUAAAAGUGGAAAUUCUAUCAUUAAGGAUUCUAAAUGAUGCAGAACUGGAAGAAUCAGAAUAUGUAGCCUUGAAAUUUGAGUAGUGUAGUAUGAUCAACGAGAAAAGAUUGGUAAUAAUUUGUCAUCAUUAAAUAUACCAAAGUAGAAUGGUUAAGGCAUACAACAAGAGAGUCAGAACAAGGGUAUUCAAAGAAGGAGACCAAGUAUUGAUAAAGAUCUUGCCAACAUCGGGAGAAGAUCAGAGCAAAUGGGCAUCGAAAUAUGAAGGACUAUGUAAGAUCCCACAUCGGAAGUGAGUGUCCAGAGCCAGGACCUUAUAAGUGCAUGCUCACCUUGACUAGUAAGACGCGUUUUGGGAAGUCAGGCCCCACAGUGGGCUCGCUUCUGCAAGGACAAAUCCGUGCGGGCCUGUGGGACCCAAAGCGGACAAUAUCUUGCUAGUGAGGUGGGGUGUUACAUUUGGUAUUAGAGCCGAGGACGGCUCGUCUUAAGAUGGGGGGAUUGUAAGAUCACACAUCGGAAGCGAGUGUCCAAAGCCAGGGCCUUAUAAGUGCAUGCUCACCUUGACUAGUAAGACGCGUUUUGGGAAGUCAGGCCCCAUGGUGGGCUCGCUUCUGCAAGGACAAAUCCAUGCGGGCCUGUGGGACCCAAAGCGGACAAUAUCUUACUAGUGAGGUGGGGUGUUACAGACUAUAUGUGGUGAAUAAAGCCUUUCCUAGAGAAGCCUUGGUUUUGACCAAGAUGGACAUAUAUGAUUUACCUAACCUUUUAAACUCUAACAUUAUAAAUAACUAUUAUGCAUGAUGUACUUUGUCAAUAUAUCAAUAAAGAUCAAAGUUUGGCCACGAAUGUUUUGGUGCAUUUUCUUUUUGUAAACUUUAAAAAGCUUUACAUGAUCUCAUAGGAUCAAAAAACCUUAUUUUUAUGUUUUUAUAAAAAUAGUUUUUGGAAAAUCAAAGUUAUUAGUACAAAUACAGAGGUAAAAUUAGUGUUUGUUUUUUACAAGUGAGUUUUGCGAGUUCAAGUGAUCUCCUAGUGAGGUAACCAAAUCAUUUAAAUGACUUUGAAUUUGAGUUUUAGUUGGCUGAAUAACAAUCAUAAUUUAAUUAUGAUUAAAACAAUUUUGCAUGACUAAACAAUCACAAUGAAAGAAAGCAAAGCUUACUAAUCCUAAACUCAUAUGUUUGAAAUGAGAGAAUGUCAUCUUUAAUAAUCCUUUCACAAUACUUUUAAAAAAUAUCAUUUGCAAGCCCUUAUUAAGCCUAGUAAGUCUUUCCUGCAAAAUAACCAUGACUAGGAUCAUACCCCAUAUUGAGGGAACAUACCAAGAUUAAAAAAGCAAUUUGAUCGCAAGAAUAUAUAAAAUAAUCCUCAAUUAUCAAAGGUGUCCAAACAAAGCAAGAGCAUGAAGAAAUUCAAAGAUUCAAAAAGGUUGAGCAUGCCAUGUAAAAUGGAAAUAAUUAGUAUGAUGAUGACACUCAAAGUCAAAUAAUCCUAACAUUAGGGGCAUGUCAAACUAUUUUGCAAAGUCAACCCUAAGAUCUAUGAAUCCUUUGACCAAAAAGAAGGUUUGGGAACAAGAUUUAGUGAUCAUUGGUCUUAAGAUUUCUUAAACAUCUUUUGAGUCUACAAAUAUCCUUUUCUUUCAUGACCAAAAGCCAAAUCCUACAUUGCGUGCCCAAUAAAGAUCUUUUUAAUCAAAGGCAAACAAUCUAGAUUGGUAAGCGAUUCUUUCCCGUGUGAAAUGAGCUUUUCAAGAAACUUUAAUUAUGCUUUAUUAUUCAUACAAAUAAAAUGAACGCUUCAAUACUAUAGAGAAAUUCAACCUUCAAGAAACCUUAUCUAUGGGAAUCACCCGAGUUUUUUUUUAAGCAAGUUUUAAACUAGCAUUAAAAUGGUUUUUGUUCAUAGGAAUCGCUUGAGUUCUUUGUCCUUUUAAAACAUAUAUUACAUCUUUUUAUGCAUGCAAAAUGUGAAAUAAUUCACGUUAUGUUGUUUGCAUUUGUUAGUAAAGGUAAUGGCACUGGGUUAGGCCACUAACAAAGCUGAAUGGGCCAAAUCCAACUCCAACCCACGCGAUUGGGCUAGGUCUAGUCCACAUAUAUACCAAAAAGAGAAGAAGCUUGUUGGGCUGUUUAUCGGCCCAAAAUCAGGUUAAGCUAGGGCCUCAGGUCUAAUAAGCCCAGCCUAUGUGGUUGGGCCAAACUCAACCCAACCUUAAAUGUGUGUUUAGCAUGCUCUAUUUUUUCCAAAGGAAAAAUGCCUUUUUUUAAAAGACAUGUUUGCCAAACGCAGCCUUAUAUAAAGCAUUUUCAAUGCCUCAGUUUUUAGGAUAAGGACACAUUUAGCAAACACAUCCUUCUACCAUUUCCUAUAGCUUAGCUUUAUCUUUAUCUUGUCCUUAUUAUAGUGUUUAGUCAAACAUGUCCUAAACUAUUUCGGAAAAGUAGGAAAAAAUUCAAAGAUCAUUUUAAAAUUAUUUAUGGAUCCAUUGUGUGUUUUUUCAACAAUUCUAUCUAAUAGCAGGUUAUAGACUUACAUUGUAUGAUACUGACUCGAACUACAAAUACAUUAUUUUUCUCAAAAAAUUCAAAAGAAAAUCCUCCUUUUAAAAAUUUAAAAAUAUAUAUGUUUUGUUCACGUGCAUAUGAUCAAAUUCUAAAAAUAUUUUCACAUAUAUUUUCAAAAAAAUUUGUAUUUUUAUCAUGUUUUAAAAAUACAAGAUAAAUAUUGUAAUUGAUUUAUGAUUAUUCAUUAAGAAUUAGCCAAAAUUUAAAAACUACCACAAAAAUUAAUUUUAUUUAGGAUAUGAAUUUUACAACGUAUUGCAUACUUCCAAUAUUAAAUUAAAUAAGUCAAUAGCAAUAAGCAUUAGAAAUUAGUUGUAGACUUUAUUAUUUAAGGGUAUAAAAUUACAUUGUAAAGUAUAUCCUGUGAUAUUAAAGAUACAAAGUAGAAAAUAAAUGUGAUACUAAAAUUUGGAUUCUAAAUUGGUUAGGAUUUAACCCGAUAGGAUAGAGAUUUUUUCGUGAAAGAAAAUUUACCUCAAACCUUAUAUGAGACCAACAAAUAGCAACAUGGCUUAAAAUAACAAUCAAUCAAUAAUGCAACUUACCAUAGGUAGGGUGUACUGGAUUAAUAUAUCUUUUUCUUAUACAACUAAUCAUCUUAAUCAAACUCCUUCAAAAUCACAAUUUAUGAUAAAAUGCAAAACCCCUUCUAUUCAGAGAAAAACCCGUCAUUUCACACCUUGCAUGCCAUGAAAUUUAUCAUUCUAAUUUCUAAGAGAACAUGGCAUUGGGAUUGUUGCCUACAGUCCCCUAGGACGGGGAUUCCUUUAAUCGGGGCCUAAGCUGGUUAAGAGCUUUUCAGAGGGUGACAUUUGAACGGUCGGUACGCUUCUUUGUGAAAAUUGAGUUUCUGACUAGUACUUGCGCAGUAAAUAACCAGUUAUCGUAGCAUAAAACCUUAUAGUUUAGAAAAGGAAUGUCUCAAGUGCAUAUGGAACGCCUUGCAUAAACUUUACACCUACGAUGAUUACUGUUUUGAUGAGUUUUCUGAAGCUUAGCUGCUGAAAUUUGUGUUGCAUUAAUUGUCUCAGGAUCUGCCUAGGUUCUGUCCAGAAAAUCUGGAGCAUAACAGGCAACUAUUUGAGCGGGUCACUGAAAUUAUAUAGUGAAAUAACACCAGAUGAAAUGGUAGAACUCGAAUCCAUCGCUUCUGCAGGUGUUGUUCAAGGUGACAGGUAUGAGGUUUUCAUGCUUACAUGCAGGAAUUCAGAAACUCCACCUCUUUCAUCAUGGAAAGCCAUAUAAAAGAAUGUUGUCAUGUCUCUUAUCUUGCUGCUACUUGUAAAUUUCAGUUACCUUUCCGAGUGUUCUAAGAUUGUGGGAGUUAAUUUCCACACCAUCUGAAGAGAUAUAUGUUUUUCACCGUAAUUUAAUUUUACCAUUAUUGUGUUUUUGCUCUGCUACAGAAAGAUGGCCUUUCGUAAUUUCUUUGUCCCAUUAGAAUUUUAUAAUUGUUGAGAGUAAGCAGAACUUCUAUACACGGGAGAAAAAUAAGAUUUUGAGUUUGUUUAUGCUUAUGUUAGUUUUGUAUAAAUAUUUUAUAUUUUAUAUUUUUUAAUUUUAAGUGUUUUAAUUAAUUUUAUAUUUGUUACUAAUAACAAACUAUUUUUGUUUUUUUAAAAAACAUUAUCAUGUAAAUACAACUCAUUUACAUAAAAUAUAAAAUAAAAAUAAUUGUAGACAAAUUAUAAUAAUCUCUUUAAAGCAUUAUGAAAUUUAAAAAAAUAUCUUUCGAUUUAUCAAUUCAUAUAUAUUUUUCAAUUUAUUCUAUUAUACAAUAUCUUUUUAUUUUUCAAUUAAGAAAAAUCAUGAUAUAUAAAAACAUGUCCAUAAUGCAAACACUUCCUUCUCUUACAUUAUAAAUUGAAUUGAAAUUCUACAUAAAAUAACAGGGAAAUUAAUACAACACCUAGCACUUAAAAUAGUAAAUUAUAAAAUAAAAUAAAAUAAGAGAUCAAACAUUUAUUAUAGAUGGGACACAAUUCAUCAUGGAUUAGCAUAUGAGUUGUUUUUUUCCUUCUCCACACAAACCAAAAGCUUUUCAAAUAGAUUCAUUGGGCAUUACAAAAUUAGUUGGGGAUAAAUUGGUUAGUACACUUUUUUUGCAUUGUCAAAUUACUUUAUCUUUUUAUUAUUAUUUGCACAAUAAAACUACAGUUAUAUCUUUUAGAGAAAAUAACCAUUGAACUAGGGUUUUUUUUUUAUUUUCAGUUUUUUGAACAAUUAAAAUAAGAGAAAAUAAUCAAAAAAUUAAACAUAUGAUUUCAAGGGUAUUUUUGUUUUUUACUUAUGGUUUUUUUGUUAUUUUUUUGUUUGUCUAAGGGUUUUUUUUAUCAUUUUAAAAGACUAAAUAUUAUUACAACAUAAAAAAGUUGUUGACAUAUUAGUGCGUAAUAGUUCCCGUGAAGGCACAUGUAAGGCCUUCCAAUUAUCAAAUUCCACCAUAUAAGACAGUGUUAGGAGAGGCUCAUCUUCCUCUUUUUAGUAGUGUGGUGCAUGCUUAUGGAGGAGGCACUUUGGCCCCUAGCAAGCUUUUUUUCUCCUUUUUUCUUUUCUUUCUCCUAACCUAAAAAUUUAUGCCAGCCCAUCCAUAAAACAAAUUGGUCCUUCAUUUUGUAUUUCUAUCAAUCUUGGCCCUCAUUCUCUUAAUUACUAUUUGUUUUGCUUUUAAUGUUUUUUUUCAUAUUUUAGUUUUUCAUUUAUAUCAUCCUUGAGAAUUUAUUUCAUUUAAUUUUUUUUUAUCUAAUUUGGCCCUUAAUAAUUUGAUUACUCUUUUUUGGAGUUUUAUCAUUGUCUUGAUUUUUUUAGCUUUUUCAAUUUCAUCCCUAAUCAUUUUAUUGCAUUUAGUUUUUGGUGUUUUAUCAUUUUCUUGAUUUUUUUAGUUUUUUCAAUUUCAUCCCUAAUCAUUUUAUUGCAUUUAUUUUUUUAUCCAAUUUUGGUAAUCUUUUUUAUUGCUAUUUCCUUAUCCUUUUUUAUUUAUCUAUUUUUUUCAAUUAUAUCCCUCAGUAUCUUAUUUUAUUUAGUUUUUUUUUAAUCUAAUUUGGGUCCUCAAUAUUUUUAUUACUAUUUUAUUAUCAUUUUUUUAUUUUUUUAUUUUUCAAUUUAGUCCCUAAUUAUUUUUCUUCAUUUAGUUUUUAUACUAAAUCUGGUCCGCAUUGCUUGGAUUUGAGAUUGUUUUGUAAUUGGAUAUUUUACUCUAUUUUUUUUGUGUGUGUUUGUCUUUCUACAGGGUAAUCUCGGUGUCAGCACCUAAGUCUAAUAUGAUUUCCUUUUUUUAUCCUUUUAUUAUAGAUUGAUUUAUUAUAGAAAAAAAAUAUUUUUUCAAUGUGGAAUUUGAAGCUCUUUAAUAUAUAUACUAUUUAUUCACAAGAAAAAAAUUAUGUUUUUUCAAUGUGGGAUAAAAAAAUAUUUUUUAUUUAGAUACUUCAAAUUAGAAGAAUAACAUACUAACAUAUCUGACGUAGGACCCAAGCGAAACGGUUCCAACCGCAAGACCCAAGAAAAAUGGAUCCGGCCAUAGGACCAAAGCCAACUAGGUCCUAACAAGAACCCAAGGCCAAUUGGUUCAACAACCAGGAGAAUUAUAAUAAAAAUAAUAAUAUUUAUACCACAAAUAAUAAUAUAUUUUCUAUUAAUACUUCGAAUUAUAAUAAAAUAAUAAUUAUAAUACAAAUAAUUAUAUUUAUAAACCCAACAAUAAUUCUAACACAAAUAAUAAUCUUUUUUAGAUGAAUAUUUAGAAUUAUAAUAAAAAUAAUACUACUUAUAACAUAAAUAAUUAUAUUUAGAAACCCAAGAAUAUAUCUAACACAAAUAAUAAUAUUUUUGAGAUGAUAAUUUAAAAUUAUAAUAAAAAUAAUAAUAUUUAUAACACAAAUAAUUAUAUUAAGAAUUUCAAGAAUAUUUAUAAUACAACAAAUAAUAUUUUUUAUAUUAAUACUUUGAAUUAUAAUGAAAAUAAUAAUAUUAUAAAAUAAAUAAUAAUAUAUUUGAUAUGAAUACGUUGAAUUAUAAUAAAAAUAAUUAUAUUUAUAAUACAAAUAAUUAUAUUUACAAACCCGAUAAUAUUUCUAACACAAAUAACAAUAUCUUUGAUAUGAAUAUGUUGAAUUAUAAGAAAAAUAAUAAUAUUAUAACACAAAUAAUAAUAUCUUUGAUAUGAAUACGUUGAAUUAUAAUAAAAAUAAUAAUAUUUAGAACAUAAAUAAUAAUAUUUUUUAUAUGAAUACUUUGAAUUAUAAGAAAAAUAAUUAUAUUUAUAACAUAAAUAAUAAUAUUUUUUUAUAUUAAUACUUAGAAAUACUUUGAAUUAUAAUAGAAAUAAUAAUAUUUAUAACAUAUAUUUAGAAUGAUAAUAAAAAUAAUGAUAUUUAUAACACAACUAGUUAUAUUAAGAAUUCCAAGAAUAUUUAAAACAAAAAUUAUAAUAUUUUUUUAUAUUAAUACUUAGAAUUAUUGAAUUAUAAUAAAAAUAAUAAUAUUUAUAACACAAAUAAUUAUAUUUAGAAACACAACAAUAUUUCUAACACAAAUAAUAAUAUUCUGAGAUGAUAAUUUAGAAUGAUAAUAAAAAUAAUAAUAUUUAUAAUACAAAUAAUUAUACUAAGAAUUUCAAGAAUAUUUAUAACACAAAUUAUAAUAUUUUUUUAUAUUAAUACUUAGAAUUAUUGAAUUAUAAUAAAAAUAAUAAUAUUUAUAAUACAACUCAAAACCCAAGAACUUUGAGUCCUGUGUCAGGAUCCAAGAGAUAUGGAUCUUGCUGUAGUACACAAGAACAUUGGGUCGUGACGCAGGACCCAAGCGAUCUUGCCGAUGUGUCCCCAACGCCCAAGGCUAGGUAGACCAAGCGCCAAGUGGCUGUAGCAAAUUAUAGUGGUUUGUGAGGAAAGCUACAACGUUUUCUCCACAUGAUUUAGCUUUAUUAUACAAAGAUAAUUUUAGAAAAAAUCAUAAUAAAAAAAAUGAAAAAAACAAAACAAGUUUGGAAACACUACAGCAAUCCACAGUGUUUUAAAAAAAAAUUAUAAAGCUAAAUUCUCAACCAACUCAAUAUUAAAAAAAAUAAAAUCAACAAAGACAUAUUUAAAAAAAUCAUAAAAAAACAACAAAAAACACAUAAAAAAAAACAUGUUGAAAACACUAUAGCAAUCCAUAGUGUUUUGUGAGGAAAGCUACAAUGCUUCCCAACAUGAUUUAGCCUUGUAAUUGUAAUUCUCAACAAAAAAAAAAUCGAUAAAGAUAAUAUUGAAAAAAUCAUAAAAAAAAACCAUAUAGGAAAAUAUUGUAGCAAUCCGCUGUGUUUUAAAGAAAAAAAAAUACAAAGCUAAAUUCUAACUAGCUUAAUAUUAAAAAAUAAAAUUGACAAAGAUAAUUUUUUAAAAAAUCAUAACAAAAAAGAAAAAAAAUCAUAUGAAAAAACACUGUAACAAGUCACAAUAUUUUCAAAAAAAAAUUACAAAACUAAAUUCUUAACCAAGUGAAUAUUAAAAAAAUUAAUUGAAAAAUACAAUUUGAAAAAAUCAUAAAAAGAAUAAAAAAAAACCUAUAUGGAAAAACAUUGUAGCAAUCAACAAUGUUUUGUGAGAAAAACUACAAUUAUAAUUCUUAAUUAGCUCAAUAUUAAAAAAAUAAAAUUAAAAAACAAUUUUAAAAAAAAUUAUAACAAAAAAAUUAUGUAAAGAAACAUUAUUGCAAUUUCACAAUAAUUUUUUUAAAAAAAUUAUAAAAUUAAAUUUUUAACUAGUUCAAUAAAAAACAAAUUACAGCAAUACACAGGAUAACAUAACAUGUUGCAGUAAUAAGAUACCAAGAAAUUCAAAUUCAUUUCAUUAUUUAUAUGUUGAUCAAUCAAUGAAUCUUAAGUGGCGGCUCACACUAAUCUAUUCAAGCCAACGGCUGUCCAUAUAAUGGAGCGUAAGCUCAAACAUACAUGUUGCUUAUAUUGUAAUGAGAUACCAAGAAAUUCAAAUUCAUUUCAUUAUUUAUAUGUUGAACAACCAAUGAAUCUUAAGUGGCAGCUCACAUUUAUCUAUUCAAGCCAACGGCUAUCCAUGUAAUGGAGCGUAAGCUCAAACAUCAUGUUAGUUACGUAGAUGCUUACGUUAGAAAAUAAAGUCUCUUCAUUCACUUCCUCUAUUUAUGGCAGUUUCGUUUUAUUUGCUAGGCUGAGCCGAGAACUCGUACACGCACUGAGUUCGUCAUUCUUGAGAAGCAAAUUAAACAAGAACAAGAGAGAUGGCAACAGUGAAAAGGAUCAAGCUGGGGUCACAGGGACUUGAAGUAUCAGCACAGGGACUUGGAUGCAUGGGCAUGUCUGCCUUCUACGGUCCUCCAAAGCCUGAAUCGGACAUGAUAGCCCUCAUCCACCAUGCCGUCAACACUGGGGUCACUUUACUCGACACCUCCGAUGUCUAUGGACCCCACACCAACGAAAUCCUUCUGGGCAAGGCCUUGAAGGCGGGAGGAUUACGACAGAGAGUUGAAUUGGCCACCAAAUUUGGCAUCAGCUUUAAGGAUGGCAAUUUUGAGGUUCGAGGGGAUCCUGCUUAU